GAUGAACGCUGGCGGCGUGCUUAACACAUGCAAGUCGAACGGAAAGGCCCUGCUCUUGCGGGGUGCUCGAGUGGCGAACGGGUGAGUAACACGUGAGUAACCUGCCCUUGACUUUGGGAUAACUUCAGGAAACUGGGGCUAAUACCGGAUAGGAGCUCCUGCUGCAUGGUGGGGGUUGGAAAGUUUCGGCGGUUGGGGAUGGACUCGCGGCUUAUCAGCUUGUUGGUGGGGUAGUGGCUUACCAAGGCUUUGACGGGUAGCCGGCCUGAGAGGGUGACCGGCCACAUUGGGACUGAGAUACGGCCCAGGCUCCUACGGGAGGCAGCAGUGGGGAAGAUUGCACAAUGGGCGGAAGCCUGAUGCAGCAACGCCGCGUGCGGGAUGACGGCCUUCGGGUUGUAAACCGCUUUCGCCUGUGACGAAGCGUGAGUGACGGUAAUGGAUAAAGAAGCACCGGCUAACUACGUG
rnacentral:rRNA from 1 species